GGCCGUAUCACGUUGGAACAUUGGUUCUUGUCCGAUCAACGAAGUUAAGCAACGUCGAGCCUGGUCAGUACUUAGUCGGGUGACCGCUUGGGAACAUCAGGCGCUGUAAG